CUUCAUUUGCAUCUGCAAAACACAAACAUUUGCAGAAUGAUGCUCUAUCACUGUGUGUCCAAGCCCCUACUGGCCUCAAGUGAUCCUCCUGACAGCUCCCUGUGGUGUGAAAAGGAGCUAUCAUCUACACUUGCUGCAGGUGAGAUGACUGUCCCGGCAAUGGCCCAAGGCCCAUCCUCUCUCAAUGUGACUGUUUAUCCAUGUUACUCCAAGAGAAUCUAACAGUUAAGGGGAGAAAAAGCUGCACUGCUUGCUUCCAGAGCUAACUGUGUCCUCCCUGCUGUCCUCCCUGCUCUGGGCCACAGCGAACACUGGACAGUGAUAUUAAAACCUAGAGCAUGAGGAAGCCAGUGAGGAGAAGCUGGUGAGAGGCUCUGCCCUCAGAUGAGAGGAACUGGAAUUCACACAUGCUCCAUCUGCCUCUGCAAACUUCGGAUGACUCAGUGUCUACCCAGCGCCUGGUCAUCGGCAUUCCUGCCAAGUGGAUCUCAGGACAAAGAAAGGACAUGACUGCCUGAAGAGGGCCCAGACAUGCAGUGGGGCAGGUGCUGGCAUCUGAGAAAGUCCUAGGAGAGAACCUCCUCCAGUGUGUGAAGAGCUUCCCAAGCACCAGGUCCACUGACUGUGGCGUCAAAGACAGUGAAAAGCUGGCCUUGGGGUGAUGCCAUCCAGGAAGGCAUGCCAGAUCAGAUGCCCAGCAACUAUCAUCUUCUCUGCUUGGGCCCUACUGCUGUGGUUCAAGAAGGAACUACCUGAGCAACUGACACUUCUGCCAGCCACCAGUCCCUGUCACUGUGCAUCUUUGCCAAGCUAAUGUGCUCCCUGGAGGAUGGGACCAGCACAGAGUCAGGUAGGGCCUGGGGCUGGGUGUGUGACCUGUGUGUAGUGAUGGAGACUAAUUCAAAGCAGGGUGGGAGUGAGACAGAAGUGUGGUACAAAUAGCAUGGAGAAUGGGCUCAAGGUGCAGGAAGGGGCAAGGAUGAAAGCUGAGUUACAGGCCAGCUCUGCCACUGACAAGCUGUGAUUUCCCUCACCCCAAAAUGACAGUAAUGACACUUCACCUCCCUGAAGGCAGGAGCCAGGUUAAAGGGGCAUGUUGGAGUGAUCUUAAAUGACAGCUGUGACUGUGACAGGAACCCCCUGUGUUUAUGAUUUGAGAUUUUAUGUAACUGCACUUGAAAUAUUCAUGUGUGUGGAUUUUGUAUAUGCAUGGGUAGUUGCAUGUUGUCUCCAGUGCAUGUACAUAAUCUGUGUCAUGUAUUACAUGUGUUCUAUAUGGGGGCAAGAACAGGUUACACGUUAUAUGUGAUAUACUAAUGUAUGAGUUACAUAUUGUACAGUUUGGGUGUUACAGUUUUUGGGUUUAUGGGCUACAUGUCAGUAUUAUGGCUGCUGUAUUGUUAUAAUUUAUCUGUUGUAUAUUGUAUUUAACUUGCAUAUGAACUCCAGACUCAUAUAUCCAGCUGCCUUCUCAAUAUCUCUACUUGGAUACCUAACCAGUUUUCUUAAACAUAACAUGUCCAAAACAGCCUAAGAUUCCUCCAAACCUGCUUCCCUCACCAUCUUUCCCAAGCCCAUACGUAGCAAUCUUAUUUUUUCAGUUGCUGUAACUUUUUUUUCCACAUUCCACAUUCAAUUCAUAAGCAAAUCCUGUUGGCUGGCCUUUGCACUAUAUCUGCAGUCUGUCCACUUUUCAUUAUUCCCACAGUAAUAAUGUGGGAAUAAGGGUUCAGCCACCAUCACCUCGCUUCUGGAUUAUUGCAAUGACCUCUUAAGUGGUUUCCCUGCCUUCUCCCUUGUCCUCUACAGUCUGUUCUCAAUACUGCAGUCAGAAUAAAAUGUCACACCAUGUCCCUUCCCUACUCAGAGCCCUCAAUGGUUUCCCCCCAGUUAGAGUGAAAUCCAGAGCUGGCUCUUACAAUGGUCUAGAAGGCCCUUUGGGCUGCCCCAAGCCACCUCUCUGGCUUCAUCUCUUCCUAGUUUCCUUGCUCCAACUGUACCAGCUUCCUUGCUAUUCCUUGAACAUACUAGGCAUGCUCCUGCAUUAGGGCUUUUGCGGUUUCUGUCUCUUCAGCCUGAAAUGCUUGUUCCUAUAGAUAAUUGCAUGGUAGCUUACUGUCUCACCUCCCUCACUCCCUUUUUAUUUAUUAUUAUUAUUAUUUUUUUUUUUAGAAAAGGUCUCACUCUGUCACCCAGGCUGGAG
rnacentral:lncRNA from 1 species